rnacentral:ncRNA from 1 species
AUUGUUCGUAGGAUAAGUAAUAUAAAUAAAUUGAUUUCAGAGAGCUUGUGGUUAGUGUGAACAAGAAUCAAUAUUUAUAUGAAUCUACCUACUAUAUGAGAACAAUCGGUCAUAACCGUUAUUUUAGUGAAGUGCAAUUUAGUUAAAACUAAAUUGUUAAAUAGGGUGGCAACGCGUAGACCACGUCCCUUGU